rnacentral:hammerhead_ribozyme from 1 species
AUCCAAAGGACGAGUCCCAAAUAGGACGAAAUGCGCAUCCUGAAU